AUUUAUAAUCAUCACAAUUCUCAUUGCUUAUGCUAUGUGGCAAGCACUAUGCUACAUGCUUUAUGGAUGUUAUCUUCAAAUGAAUUCUGUGACAUAGGGUUGCAAUCUUUAUUUUGCAGUGGGGGAUCCUGAAGUUCAAGAAAGCUGCAUGACUCUGGAAGACCUCACGUGAGUCCUGGGUAGCCAGGACCAGCAGAGGAAACUCCCACUCAGGGACACACUGUGGGACAGAAUGCAGCAGCUGCCUAAAGACCAAUGCUCAGCGAUUUCUGCUUUUAGGGUCAUCAUUCACAGCUCCAGCGGGAAGCUUGGGAAUCAUAACCUUACAUCAGUGUCCAGGCUGUCAUUUCCAGGCUAAUUACCAGCCGGCUGCUGAGAGGACACUCAGAUGACCGCUUGGUGAACACAGGGCAAAGGGGAUCCCGUGGGAGAAGCUGAUCAAUGGGCUGUGAGCUCAGGGACCCAUCUGGACUCUGGGGCGUGGCCUCAGCUUGAUGAGGUAUACAGCCUGCCUCUGAUUGAAUUUCCUUGCACUUACUCUGAACUCAGGAGGAUCAGAAAGAUGUGAGUCGGUAGGACCAACACUCAGCUCCUCCCCAGCCUGGCUCUGAGACCCUCUGUGAACCCCAGUGUCCUUGCCUGGGACAAAUAGAUUCGCUGAUCUCCACUUUAUUGGGCCCUUCCGAAAAGUAAAUGAGACAAUGGCAAGGAGUAUUUAGUGGAGGCUGAAUCAGAAGCACAGGACUGGGGGAUUGGAUGAAUUUUAAAUGAGAUCUGGUCGGAUCUCCUGAGACUGUAAGUGAGGGAGCGGCAGCACGACAGGGGAAGAGAUUUCCUCGCUGGUUCCUGGAAGAGUGAGUCUCAGGACCCAAGUCUCCAAGCAGUCCAUCCUGAGCGUCCCGUCAGCUCUGCCUCGCUGAUAAAACGUCUAGCGAUGACAUUAAAACCCAACAUGUGUUGACUUUAUCCCGUGCCAAGUCCUUUUCACUCAUUAUCUUCAAUCCACAAACAACCCUGUGAAGCUGGUGGUAUUACUUCCCUUUUAUGGAUGAGGACACCUCGGUUCAGAGUAGGGCAACUUGCUCAAGAUUAUGCAGCUAACUGCUGGCCGUAGAAGAUUGGAACACCACUGGCAUCCACAAUGAUGCUGGCGUCUGUUACCCAAUCAGGCCUCCCCCGUAAGAAUCCAUACUGCCUCCCAAUCCUCAGUAGUAAUGGGAGUUUUACUUCACUCUCCAAACAGGUAUCACACGUUGUAGUAGUUAGAGUUCAUGUAUAUAGAGGAAAACAAAUGUAUUAUGUGUUUAAAUAAUGCAUUUAAAAAUGAAUGUUAUUACAUGUUUCUUUUUCAAAGACAUUUUUAUUUUAUGUUGAUAGUUUUCCCAGCUUUGUGGCCCAUGACAGAAAAGAGAAGUAAAGAAGAUGCGUGCGCGUGCACGCGCGCACACACACACACACACAAAUUUCUCCUUGUUACUCUCCCCUUUAAAAAAAACUAACUUGUUCCUUCCCCAAAAUAUUUAUACUUUAAUUAAAGUGGCCUAAGGCAAAACUAAUUUUCACGAGAGAUUACUCUUCACUGAUCUCCAAUUAUAGGCAGUUGCUAUAGUUACACCUGAAUUAAGCGAGAUACAUGAUAUAAUAACUUCACAAUGUAGAACUUCUCCCAGAAAUGUGUUGCCUACUUCCACCAUCUAUUGGGUAAGUUGAAAGGCUUUUCAAGGCUCCCUAUUCCAAAUUGGCUUCAAGAAAGGUUUAAUGGCAGGGAAAGGGAGGGGUCAAAGGGAAGAUCAAGAGUUUUUUACAGUGGUGGUGUGCUUCUGUGCCGUCACUGUGUAUUUUGUGAAGACACUGAAUAAAGCAGUGACUCUUUAACAAAAUCUAUGAAUUAGGCCCCUUAGUUAGUGUCAACCUAAACUUCUGCCAGGGCUGAAGUGGUGGGGGAUGGUUCCUACUAGGUAGAACUUGAAAGCUCUGUGAGAGACAUGUGUAUAGUAUAUAUUUAUUUAAUAGUUUCAAGUGCGGACAAGACCACGAAUAAUGUUUAUUUUCAUAAAGAAAACUGUUAAAAGGAUGACAACGACAAAAUUGCAUGUGGCAAUGACUUGUAUUUUUUUUUUUAAUUCCCCAAUGGCCUUGUUUAGUAUGGAGAAUGUUGAAAACCACACAUCAACUAUUGGCAGGUAAACACCAAAAAGGUUUUCUUGGGUAUUGAAAAAUGUUGACUACGAGACAGAAUCAAAGAUAUGGCUAUUUUUCUUCUUUUUAACUUAGUUCAUAAUUUUAUUAUUAAAUAAAUAGCCAACAAUAGA